rnacentral:rRNA from 1 species
GAUGAACGCUGGCGGCGUGCCUAAUACAUGCAAGUCGAGCGAACGGACGAGAAGCUUGCUUCUCUGAUGUUAGCGGCGGACGGGUGAGUAACACGUGGAUAACCUACCUAUAAGACUGGGAUAACUUCGGGAAAACGGAGCUAAUACCGGAUAAUAUUUUGAACCGCAUGGUUCAAAAGUGAAAGACGGUCUUGCUGUCACUUAUAGAUGGAUCCGCGCUGCAUUAGCUAGUUGGUAAGGUAACGGCUUACCAAGGCAACGAUGCAUAGCCGACCUGAGAGGUUGAUCGGCCCACCUGGAACUGAGACACGGUCCAGACUCCUACGGGAGGCAGCAGUAGGGAAUCUUCCGCAAUGGGCGAAAGCCUGACGGAGCAACGCCGCGUGAGUGAUGAAGGUCUUCGGAUCGUAAAACUCUGUUAUUAGGGAAGAACAUAUGUGUAAGUAACUGUGCACAUCUUGACGGUACCUAAUCAGAAAGCCACGGCUAACUACGUG